CAUAAGCGGAGGAAAAGAAACUAACCAAGGAUUCCCCUAGUAACGGCGAGUGAAGCGGGAAGAGCUCAAAUUUGAAAGCUGGCGCCUUCGGCGUCCGCGCUUGUAAUCUCGAGAAGUGUUUUCCGUGCUGGACCAUGUACAAGUUCCUUGGAAUAGGACGUCAUAGAGGGUGAAAAUCCCGUACUUGAUGUGGCCGCCCAGUGCUUUGUGAUACACUUUCCAUGAGUCGAGUUGUUUGGGAAUGCAGCUCAAAUGGGUGGUAAAUUCCAUCUAAAGCUAAAUAUUGGGGAGAGACCGAUAGCGAACAAGUACCGUGAGGGAAAGAUGAAAAGCACUUUGGAAAGAGAGUUAAAUAGUACGUGAAAUUGUCGAAAGGGAAGCGCUUGAAGUUAGACAUGCUAGUUGGAAUUCAGCCUUGCUUUUGCUUGGUGCAUUUUCCGGUUAGCAGGCCAGCAUCAGUUUUGCCUGUCGGAUAAGGGUAGGAGGAAUGUGGCCCCUCGGGGUGUUAUAGCCUCUUAUUGGAUACGACGGGUGGGACUGAGGACAGCAGUGCGCCUUUAUGGCGGGCCUUCGGGCACCUUCGCACUUAGGAUGCUGGCGUAAUGGCUUUAAGCGACCCGUCUUGAACAUGGAAACACG
rnacentral:rRNA from 1 species